rnacentral:misc_RNA from 1 species
CGCGCGCAAGUGUCUACCUCACGGUCCGUUCCAAUCCAUUCCGAUCGGAGUUCUCGUGCCGAGCGGUCGAUUCAUACGCUAGCCCUGGGCGAACCGUCGGCAGUCGCGCCGGCGCCGCCGUCGGCGAUGGACCACGACGAGGACAGGUCCUUGUCUCUGGGGACGGAGGUCUCUGCCUCCGUGCCCCCACCGAGCCCUCUCACGGGAUGUUAUUUGCUCGCGGUGAUCGGGGAGCCCCACACUCACGAGCACAAGGAGAUUAUUCUGCAGCGACUUGUUAAAGGUCUGCUGUCAUGGGACUCUGGCGAGCACCAGGUCGAUUUGGAGAAGGAGUUAUCCACCCUCACGGCGCAGGCACCCGAGGGGGAGGAAGCUCGAUAUGGCGAACGUCUGAUCCAGUUCGCAUCAGAGAACCUGGUGACAGAGAUCCUGAUUCACCCCCAGAUGAACACGCUGAUGCAAUGCAUGCGCAAUUUGCUCAGCUCAUUCACGAGGCACCGACACCUCGUGCACGCUGGAUAUACAUUUGCUGGGAACGGCUCCUGGAUUAUGCAGGACGGGACCUUUUCCCUUGCUGAUUUCACUGACGCAUACCAAGAGAAUGAGGUUCAGCGCGUGAUCCGCGCUUACGAGAACUCCAUCUCCAUUGAUGUUCACUGCUCCACCAGCGGUGGGGGCGAAUGGGCCAAGCUCCCCGAGAUGCCCUUCGUUAAAUACUGCAAGAUUAGGGUCAACCCUACUGAUAUAUUGGACUCUGGCUCUCAAGCCAUCAAGGAUUUUAUUGCAUACCUGGACCCAUACAUAGUGCCAGCCAGCCUGGACCAGCUCCUGGUGUCGAGCGACGUCGUGGGCAACAUCAGGUUCAGCCACCCGACGCUCUACGUGUUCCCAGGGGGGCAGGGCGAUGCUGCACUCUUUGGCAUUAAUGGAUUUAAUAUGCUUGUUGACGGAGGCUUCUCCCGCAAAGCAUGCUGGUGGGACUUCGCGCGCCACCUGGACCGCUUGGACGCCGUCCUGUUCACUCGCAUCAACAACUGCUCCAUGUCAGGCAUGGCUUCUGUGUUGCGCCGCAAGGCCAGCGCCACUGUCUACCCACAGAUUGGACAUUUCUUCUGUAACUUAGAGGAACGCCGCGCUCUCGCGAGCCCCGACGGUGACAAGGACUCGGAUCCCCUGCUGGUCUCCCUGCUGCAGGAGGGAUCAGACAUGAUGGCAGACCUGCGGCAUAUCAACCUCAAGCCACAGCACUGCUAUAGGAGCCCGGAGCCCAUUAACUUGUACCACAAAGUUGGACAUGGAACCCUAGACAUGUACGUACUGAAUCCUUCAAAGGACUCCAAAUACGUUCGUGAAUUCCUAAAACGUUGGCACAACAGUGAACAGAAACUAUUCGAAGGCGCUAGUGUAUCUGGGCAAUUUAAUUUCCCCAUUCCAAACUUAGUAUCAAUAUGCGCGUUACUAGUGUGGCGCCCAGCCAAUCCAGACGAUACGAUUACAAGGAUAAUGUUCCCAGGAUCGACACCACAACACAAAAUAUUUGAAGGUUUAGAAAAGCUUAAACAUUUAGAAUUCCUACAGCAUCCCACUUGUACGGGAAGACAGAUGGCUCCUACGACGCCACCCGCUACUACAACAGCAACGACAGUCACAACUACAAAAACUAGCACUAAAACGACAGUAAAACCCAGCAAAGACAGAAGUAUAAUCUCUGAUAAGACGAAAGAAGAUAAAAUUGUUGAACCUGAGCCUCCACCAAAGGACCUCAAAGAAGGAGAAACAAAAAAUAUUAUAGAUAAUAAACUGCUCAGUGAGCUCGUAGACGAGGAAGAUAAAAUUGAAUCCGUUCUACAUGAUGCAAUAACUGCCAGAAUAGAAACUAAACUAGAUGAUAAGAUUGCUCAAUAUGAGAGCACUGUGAUAGACGGUUUGCCUAAAAAAAGAGAAGUUAAAAAGAAAGCUGUGGAUAAGAAAACUAAACGCGUUGAUAAGACUGAUGAAGUUAAAGAUACCGUAGUUAAGGCUGAUACAAAAAAAGUUGACGCUGAACCAAAAGCUAAAUUAGAAAAGAAAACUAAAGUUGAUACUCGAAAAUCUGAAAUGACAUCGUCAAUGUCAAGGACUAAACUCAGCCAUCGUACAACACGUGCAGUUUCAGAAAGAAAAACAGUUGCAAGCUCUGACAAAAAAGCUGCGGCUGAUGAUAAGAAAUCGCCUCCUACUACUCCUAAAAAGACACUGGAAGCUAGACCUACUCCAUCCGUACCAGCGAUUAAAGACAAAAUUAAAGCCAAACCUAGAAGACUGAGCCCUGGUAGCACCCCAGCCAAAAGCACUAAAGAGGCGAAAAAUCGUAUGGUUGUUGAAUCAAAAUACAAGCAGUCAUCACCUAAACGAGACGUUGCAGCAAAAUCAACUGAAAAGAAAGAAACUAAAGCUAAACGAGAACCAAUUUCACGCCGGCCGCGACCAUUAUCAUCACCAGUGAAAGGAUUAAAAGCCAUGAAGAGUCCAACUAAAUCUGUUAAGUCAGUUAAAGCUGAUUCUUCCAAGUUAAAAGGCUUACAAAGGGUUAACUAUGAAGAUAUUCUUAAAGAUGCUAAGAAAUCUGAUGAAGAUACUUCGAAAUCUCUCGAUGAUAUAAAACAGCAAGAAUUAGAUGAGAGGGAAGAACAAGAAAUUGUAAGAGAAAUAGAAGCGGUAUUUAACAGGGACAGCGAAGCUGAAGAAAAAAUUGAAUUUGUGGGACGAUCGGAUAUCGAAAAAAUUACUUGCUUAUUAGACGAUACCAAAACUGAAACGACUGCCGACGGUGAAUUUGAAGAAGAAUAUUUAAUAAUUGAAAAGGAAGAAGUUGAGCAAUACACUGAAGACUCAGUUUUAGACCGAGAAGAUAGCCAUGACCACGAGGAGGAAUUACAAAAACAUGCCAAAGAUAAGGAAGAAUCGGAGAAAAAGAAAGAUGUAACAAUUUUAGAAAAAGAUAAACCUGACGAAACCCAAAUAAUGACAGAAGCGGUUAUCGAAACGGAAGUAAAGCAAAUUGAAUCUAAAGAACAUUCUGUGAGCGUAGAAGAAAAACAAGACAUUAGCAGUGAAAAGAAAACUUCUGAUAGUAAGAGUAUUCCCAAGCCCAAAGAUUCUCUUGAAAUGCAGGUUCAAGAGUCUCAGCCGGAUGAGAAAAUAUCUACUACUAUCGAAUCUGGAGCCACAACUGCACCUACUUUACCUGAAGAUGAAAGAAUAACUCUUGAUGAUAUCAAAGAAGAUCAACAAGUCGAAGAAAAACAUAUUCAAGAAGAAACAAAAGAAGUGGUUCCACCUCAAAGCUUGGUUGAUACAACGAAACCACUUUCAUUAGAAAAAAGUCCUAAAUUGGAGUCUGUACCAGUGCCAAUCCGAGAAAUCGUCAAGACUCCUGAUGAAGUAGCUGACCUACCCUUGCACGAAGAAGUAGACUACAGGACUUAUGUAGAAAAGAAGACACCGGAAGAAGAACCCUUUAAACGUAAAGUGGAAGAUAUCAAAGUUCCAAAAGAUCUUCCACUUUCUGACGUAGAAGGUACUUUCAAAGGAACCAAAGCCGUCCAGGAAGACGUGGUAGUAAAAACUGUUCAAAGUGCAUCGCAUGCUGAACUCGUUACUGUUACCCCUGGAUCAGCACCAGAAUCUCCAAUGUACCAUGAGCAAAUGAAGGUAUCUGCAGUUCCUGACAAAGAUUUGCAGCCCGUUAAAGAAUAUGAUGAUGGUGAAUAUGACUAUGGUCAGUACACUGAGAAAUUAAGAGAAACUCAUAUUACAACUCUUGAUUCACCUAUCAAAGAUGAUAUAAUUGUUAUUGAAGAGAUCCCGUGUAUGCCUGAGAAAAUCCCGUCAAUACCUGAAGAUGUGGAAAAAGAAAUUGAAGAAGCUCGAAAAUUAGAAAUGGCGGAUAAACCUCCCUUAAGUCCUAAAGAAGUAGAAAAAAUUGUUGCGGAUGUUGCAGAAGUCCUUAAGUCAGAUAAAAGCUUGGAUGAAAUCAUGGCUGAAAAGUCUCCUUUGCUAAGUAAAUCACCUGAAGCCUUUCCAAGUAUGGAUAAAACAGUUAGUGUCAUUGAAGCGACCAAGAUGCUUUUGAGCAGUGAACAAGAAAUUAAACACGAUUUACGAGAUGAAGUCAAAGACACUAAGGCUCUUGACGCUAAACCAAUUCAUGAAAUUACAGACACAAUACAAAAAGAAGUAUCGCCAGUGAGAUCAAUUACAUCAGAGGACGUCAGUGAAACCUCAGACAAGACUGUGCUCAGUGAAGGUAAGCGAGUUAAACGAGAACUCUUGGAGGAAAAAAUAAAAGAUAAAGUUGACGAUAUCAAAGAAAGUUUAGAUGAACCAAAAACAACAAGUGUCGACAUUACUGACCAUGCAAUUGUUGAUAAGAAAGACCAAAUUGACGAUCAUAUCUUGCAAAAACAUCCCGUAGAAAAAGUAGAUAUCGAAGAAAUAAAACCACAAAGAAGAGUCAGUACAACAUUAGAGUCAGCCAAGACAUUAGAAAAACUUGAAGAGAAAAUUGCGGAUCUGAAGAGGAAAGAAGAAGAGAAAAUACAAGAUAAAAUUGAAAUGACUGAAACGAAGGUUUCUGAAAAGAGCGACAGAUUAGAAAAAGAACCUGUGAUACCUGUUAAACAAUUAAGUCCAGAAAAAGAACUCAAAGAAGAAACUUCAAAAGAAAAACCUGUUAUAGAGGAAAAAGAAUCAAUUCCUGAUAGAGAAAUACCUAAGAAAACAUUACUUCAAAAGGCUGAAACCAAGGUCGAAAAAGUGGCUGGAAAAGUUUCAGCCUUUAAAGAUGAAGUAUUUGGAUUCUUUGGCAAAAAGACUGACAAAAAAGAACCUAGCCCAGACAAAGAUACAGAAAGUAAGAAAAAAAUUACUCCAGAGAAAGAAAUAAUCCCCGUGGAAAUAAAAGAAACUGUCAUGAAACCAGCAGUAGAUGACGUAAAAAAAGAAAAACCAGAAGUAUCUAUAUUUGAAGAAAUGAAGGAGCAAGAUAUUGAUAUUAUUGAAAAAGUUGAUCAAGAACAACUUGCUAGUCCAAGUGUCCCAGAAGAUAAGUUCCCUAGUUUAAUUUAUGACGAAGAUCAAGAAUUAGACAUUGAGGAAAGGCUGAUUGGUUUUGAACCUACGGGUAAACCAGAAGUUGUAACAUCAACAGAAUCAACCAUAAUUACCGAAAAAGGCGUUAUGGUAACCCGGAAAUCCACAAUAACAACUAUUGUACAAGAAUACAGUAAUGUGACUAAGACAAUUUUAAGAUACAAAACAACUGUUUUAACUAUUGAAAAUGAUGAACUUCCUGAUGGUACAAAAUUGGAGCGAACUUACCGAAAAGUAUCCCUUGCACAUGAACGACCGAAGAUCAGCCCAACAAAGUCUGAUAAAGAAAUGCCUAGCUCAAUCAAGCAUGAAAAAAAAGAAGUUAGUGAUAAGCCAGUUACUCCAGUCAAAUCUGAUGAGGCACUAUCAGCUGAUGCUAAGCCUUUGAGUGAGACUACACUAGAAGAAAAACCAAGCUUAAUUUAUGAUGAAGAUCAAGAACUUGAAAUUGAAGAGAGGCUUAUGGGUUUCGAGCCUACAAAAGAACGUGAAGAAAUAACCACAACUGAAGUUCAAUCGGUCACUGAAAAGGGUAUUCUUAUCCAAAGAAAAUUGAUUGUAACGACAAUCGUUCAAGAGUAUACAAAUGUUACAAAAACAAUGUUCCGAUAUAAAACCACUAUUUUAACUUUUGAAGAAGACGAGUUGCCUGAUGGUAACAAAAUAAGUAGAACUAUCAGAAAAGUCUCGCUUGCGUAUGAAAAACCAAAGUUAAAACACGAGGACGAAACAGGCGCAGGUGAAGAUAGAAAAUCUCUUAGCCCUGAAAAGGAUAUAUCGAGUCCUAUUAAAGACGACGAAUUGUCACCGACUUCAAUUAAGACUGCUGAACCCGAAGAGAAAGUAUGUAGUCCACAAGUAUCUGAAGACGGAGAAAUACCAGUACUUAUCUCGGACCAAGCUCAAGAAUUAGAAAUUGAAGAAAUGCUGAAAGAAUAUACGCCUUUGGGCAAAGAAGAAGAACACACUAAAAGCAAAACUGAAAUGGUUACACAUAUGGGUGUCAUCACGCACAGAACAUCGAUUAUAACAACAACUAUCCAAAGUUAUAAGCAUAUCGUCACUAACUUUGUGAAAUAUAAGAUAUGCAUUGUAGCAAAUGAAUGCGACGAACAUCAAGACGGCUCGAGAUACACUCGAGUAAUGCGACAAAUGAAACUUGUCGACAAGCGACCUGAUCCUAUACCUUUUGAAUUUGAAGUCAGAUUACCACUUCCUGAAGAAGAAGCUGUCAGGACGCAAAAACUAAUCAAACUUGAGAAAAUUUCUGAUCAUGAAAAACUAGAUGACGAACCUGAAAAAGAAAAAGACGAUUUUGAUGGGGAGAAGCCAAAAACUGUGGUUGAGUUUGAUAAGCCAAUCCAUGCCAGCCAAUCGCUUGAAAUUAAAAAACCAGAUGGGAAAACACCAAUGUUAAUUUGUGACGAAGCUCAAGAGUUAGAAAUAAAUGAAAGGUUAAAAGAAUUCACUCCGUUAGGAAAAGCUGAAGAGCACACUACAAGCAAAGUUGAAACGGUUACUUUUAAAGGCUUUAUUACGCAAAGAGAAUCUCUAAUAACGACAGUUAUUCAAGAAUACAAACAUGUCACCAAAAAGGUGGUUAGGUACAGGAUAUGUAUCAUGACCAUUGAAGAGGACAAACUUCCAGAUGGCAGUAUAUACUCAAGAGUAAUAAGACAAAUGAAACUUGUCGACAAGAAACCGUAUCCCAUUCCUUUUGAAUUUGAAGAUAAAUUACCUAUACCCGAAGAUGAAACUUCACCUAAAAUGAAAUCUGAUCGCCCUCUUCAACUUGAUGACAAAUUAUUGACACAAGUCAAGUAUGAUAAGGAAGCACCAAUCCUUGUUGAUGGUAGGGCUUUAAUUGAGCCGGAUGACGUUAAAAGUAAAGUUAAACUUGACGAGAAAACACCGAGCCCAAUCUAUCUUGAUGACAAGGCUGCGAGCCCCAUCAAGCGAGAUGAGAAAGAAUCUACUGAUCUAAUGGUUGAUGAGAAGAAACCAAGCCCCGUCAAGACUGAUGAGAAGGCGCCAAGCCCUGUCAAGCCCGAUGAGAAGUCACUCAGCCCUCUUGAACAUGAUGACAAAGUUCCAAGCCCCGUCAAGCCUGACGAAAAAGAGCCAAGCCCAUCCAAGCUCGAUGAGAAGGCACCUAGUCCUGUUGAGCUCAGGGAGAAGGCGCCAAGCCCCGUCAAGGAAGACGAAAGAAAAUUGAGCGCUAUUUCUCUCGAUGAGAAAGCACCCAGUCCAAUCAAAUCAGAAGAUAAGGCACCAAGCCUUGUCAAGCCCGAUGAGAAAGCGCCAAGCCCCGUCAAGCCCGAUGAGAAAGCACCAAGCCCUGUCAAGCCCGACGAGAAAGCGCCAAGCCCUGUCAAGCCUGAUGAAAAAGAGCCAAGCCCAUCCAAGCUCGAUGAGAAGGCACCUAGUACUGUUGAGCUCGAUGAGAAGGCACCAAGCCCCGUUAAGGAAGACGAAAGAAAAUUGAGCGCUAUUUCUCUGGAUGAGAAAGCACCCAGUCCAGUCGAAUCAGAGGACAAGACACCAAGCCUUGUCAAGCUCGAUGAGAAAGCACCAAGCCCCGUCAAGCCUCACGAGAAAGAGCCAAGCCCCGUCAAGCCCGAUGAGAAGGCGCCAAGCCCUCUUGAACAUGAUGACAAAGUUCCAAGCCCCGUCAAGCCUGACGAAAAAGAGCCAAGCCCAUCCAAGCUCGAUGAGAAGGCACCAAGCCCCGUCAAGGAAGGCGAAAGAAAAUUGAGCGCUAUUUCUUUGGAUGAGAAAGCACCCAGUCCAGUCGAAUCAGAAGACAAGGCACCAAGCCCCGUCAAGCCUCACGAGAAAGAGCCAAGCCCCAUCAAGCCCGAUGAGAAGGCGCCAAGCCCUGUCAAGCCCGAUGAGAAGGCACUUAGCCCUCUUGAACAUGAUGACAAAGUUCCAAGCCCCGUCAAGCCUGACGAAAAAGAGCCAAGCCCAUCCAAGCUCGAUGAGAAGGCAGCUAGUGCUGUUGAGGUCGAUGAGAAGGCCCCAAGCCCCGUCAAGGAAGACGAAAGAAAAUUGAGCGCUAUUUCUCUCGAUGAGAAAACAGCCAGUCCAAUCAAAUCAGAAGACAAGGCACCAAGCCCCAUCAAGCCUGACGAGAAAGUGCCAAGCCCCGUCAAGCCCGACGAGAAAGCGCCAAGCCCCGUCAAGCCCGACGAGAAAGCGCCAAGCCCCGUCACGCCUCAUGAGAAGGCACCUAGUCCUGUUGAGCUUGAUGAGAAGGCAUCAAGCCCCGACGAGGAAGCAGAAAGAAAAUUGAGCGCUAUUUCUCUUGAUGAUAAAGCCCACAGUCCAGUUAAACCAGAAGAUAAGGUACCAAGUCCCGUCAAGCCUGACGAGAAAGUGCCAAGCCCCGUCAAGCCCGACGAGAAAGCGGCAAGCUCCGUCAAGCCCGACGAGAAAGCGCCAAGCCCCGUCAAGCCCGACGAGAAAGCGCCAAGCCCCAUCAAGCCAGACGAGAAAGCGCCAAGCCCCGUCAAGCCUGACGAAAAAGAGCCAAGCCCAUCCAAGCUCGAAGAGAAGGCACCUAGUCCUAUUGAGCUCGAUGAGAAGGCACCAAUCCCCGUUAAGGAAGACGAAAGAAAAUUGAGCGCUAUUUCUCUGGAUGAGAAAGCACCCAGUCCAGUCGAAUCAGAAGACAAGGCACCAAGCCUUGUCAAGCCCGAUGAGAAAGCACCAAGCCCCGUCACGCCUCAUGAGAAGGCACCUAGUCCUGUUGAGCUUGAUGAGAAGGCAUCAAGCCCCGACGAGGAAGCAGAAAGAAAAUUGAGCGCUAUUUCUCUUGAUGAUAAAGCCCACAGUCCAGUUAAACCAGAAGAUAAGGUACCAAGUCCCGUCAAGCCUGACGAGAAAGUGCCAAGCCCCGUCAAGCCCGACGAGAAAGCGGCAAGCUCCGUCAAGCCCGACGAGAAAGCGCCAAGCCCCGUCAAGCCCGACGAGAAAGCGCCAAGCCCCAUCAAGCCAGACGAGAAAGCGCCAAGCCCCGUCAAGCCUGACGAAAAAGAGCCAAGCCCAUCCAAGCUCGAUGAGAAGGCAGCUAGUCCUGUUGAGCUCGAUGAGAAGGUACCAAGCCCCGUCAAGGAAGACGAAAGAAAAUUGAGCUAUAUUUCUCUUGAUGAGAAACCAGUCAAAUCAGAAGACAAGGCGCCAAGCCCCGUCAAGCCCGAUGAGAAAGCGCCAAGCCCUGUCAAGCUCGAUGAGAAGGCACUUAGCCCUCUUGAACAUGAUGACAAAGUUCCAAGCCCCGUCAAGCCUGACGAAAAAGAGCCAAGCCCAUCCAAGCUCGAUGAGAAGGCAGCUAGUCCUGUUGAAAUCGAUGAGAAGGCACCAAGCCCCGUCAAGGAAGACGAAAGAAAAUUGAGCGCUAUUUCUCUGGAUGAGAAAGCACCUAGUCCUGUUAAAUCAGAAGACAAGGCACCAAGCCCCGUCAAGCCCGACGAGAAAGCACCAAGCCCACUCAAGCCUGACGAAAAAGAGCCAAGCCCAUCCAAGCUCGAUGAGAAGGCACCUAGUCCUAUUGAGCUCGAUGAGAAGGUACCAAGCCCCGUCAAGGAAGACGAAAGAAAAUUGAGCUUUAUUUCUCUUGAUGAGAAACCAGUCAAAUCAGGAGACAAGGCGCCAAGCCCCGUCAAGCCCGAUGAGAAAGCGCCAAGCCCUGUCAAGCUCGAUGAGAAGGCACUUAGCCCUCUUGAACAUGAUGACAAAGUUCCAAGCCCCGUCAAGCCUGACGAAAAAGAGCCAAGCCCAUCCAAGCUCGAUGAGAAGGCAGCUAGUCCUGUUGAAAUCGAUGAGAAGGCACCAAGCCCCGUCAAGGAAGACGAAAGAAAAUUGAGCGCUAUUUCUCUGGAUGAGAAAGCACCUAGUCCUGUCAAAUUAGGAGACAAGGUACCAAGCCCCGUCAAGGGAGACGAAAGAAAAUUGAGUACUAUUUCUCUUGAUGAGAAACCAGUCAAAUCAGAAGACAAGGCACCAAGCCCCCUCAAGCCCGACGAGAAAGCGGCAAGUCCCGUCAAGCCCGACGAGAAAGCGCCAAGCCCCGUCAAGCCCGACGAGAAAACGGCAAGCCCCAUCAAGCCGGACGAGAAAGCGCCAAGCCCCGUCAAGCCUGACGAAAAAGAGCCAAGCCUCAUUGAGCCCGAUGAAAAAGAGCCAAGCCCAUCCAAGCUCGAUGAGAAGACACCAAGCCCCGUAAAACCUGAUGAGAAAGCACCAAGCCCCGACAAGGAAAAAGAAAGAAAAUUGAGCGGUAUUUCUCUUGAUGAAAAAGCACCCAGUCCUGUCAAAUCAGAAGACAAGGCACCAAGCCCCGUCAAGCCCGAUGAGAAAGCGCCAAGCCCCGGCAAGGAAGAAGACAAGGCACCCAGCCCCGUCAAGCCUGACGAGAAAGCGCCAAGCUCUAUCAAGCCCGAUGAGAAAGCGCCAAGCCCUACCAAGCCUGAUGAGAAAGCGCCAAGCCCCGGCAAGGAAGAAGACAAGGCACCCAGCCCCGUCAAGCCUGACGAGAAAGCGCCAAGCUCUAUCAAGCCCGAUGAGAAAGCGCCAAGCCCUACCAAGCCUGAUGAGAAGGCACCAAGCCCAGCGAAAGAAGAAGAAAGAAAACUGAGCGCUAUCUCUCUUGAUGGGAAAGCCCCCAGUCCAGUCGAACAAAAAGAAACUGCAAUUAGCUCCAUCGAACUUGAUGAAAAGGCGCCAAGCCCUGUCAAACCCGACGAGAAAGCGUCAAGCCCUACCAAGCCUGAUGAGAAGACACCAAGCCCCGACAAGCAAGAAGAAAGAAAAUUGAGCGCUAUUUCUCUUGCUGAGACAGCACCCAGUCCUGUUAAAUCAGAAGAUAAGGCACCAAGCCCAAUCAAGCCCGACGAGAAAGCGCCAAGCCCCGUCAAGCCUGACGAGAAAGAGCCAAGCCCCAUCAAGCCCGAUGAGAAAGCGCCAAGCCCCGUCAAGCCCGACGAGAAAACGCCAAGCCCCGUCAAGCCUGACGAAAAAGAGCCAAGCCCAUCCAAGCUCGAUGAGAAGGCACCUAGUCCUGUUGAGCUCGAUGAGAAGGCACCAAGCCCCGUCAAGGAAGACGAAAGAAAAUUGAGCGCUAUUUCUCUGGAUGAGAAAGCACCCAGUCCAAUCAAAUCAGAAGACAAGGCACCAAGCCCUGUCAAGCCUGACGAAAAGGAGCCAAGCUCAGUCAAGCUCGAUGAGAAGGCACCUAGUCCUGUUGAGCUUGAUGAAAAGACCCCAAGCCCCGACGAGGAAGUAGAAAGAAAAUUGAGCGCUAUUUCUCUUCAUGAGAAAGCACCAAGUCCAGUCAAAUCAGAAGACAAGGCACCAAGCCCCGUCAAGUCUGACGAGAAAGUGCCAAGCCCCGUCAAGCCUGACGAGAAAGAGCUAAGCCCCAUCAAGCCCGACGAGAAAGCGCCAAGCCCCGUCAAGCCAGAUGAGAAGGCACCAAGUCCUGUUGAGCUUGACGAGAAAGAGCCAAGCCUCAUCAAGCCCGAUGAGAAAGUGCCAAGCCCCGUCAAGCCCGAUGAGAAAGCACCAAGCCCCGUCAAGCCCGACGAGAAAGCGUCAAGCCCCAUCAAGCCCGACGAGAAAGCGCCAAGCCCCGUCAAGCCUGACGAGAAAGAGCCAAGCCUCAUCAAGCCCGAUGAGAAAGCGCCAAGCCCCGUCAAGCCAGAUGAGAAGGCACCUAGUCCUGUUGAGCUUGAUGAGAAGGCACCAAGCCCCGACGAGGAAGUAGAAAGAAAAUUGAGCGCUAUUUCUCUGGAUGAGAAAGCACCCAGUCCAGUCAAAUCAGAAGAUAAGGCACCAAGCCCCGUCAAGCCCGAUGAGAAAGAGCCAAGCCCCAUCAAGCCCGAUGAAGCGCCAAGCCCCGUCAAGCAUGAUGAGAAGGCACCAAGCCCAGCGAAGGAAGAAGAAAGAAAACUGAGCGCUAUCUCUCUUGACGGGAAAGCCCCCAGUCCAGUCGAACAAAAAGAAACUGCAGCUAGCUCCAUCGAACUUGAUGAAAAGGCGCCAAGCCCUGUCAAACCCGAUGAGAAAGCGUCAAGCCCUACCAAGCCUGAUGAGAAGACACCAAGCCCCGACAAGCAAGAAGACAAGGCACCCAGCCCCGUCAAGCCUGACGAAAAAGAGCCAAGCCCAUCCAAGCUCGAUGAGAAGGCACCUAGUCCUGUUGAGCUCGAUGAGAAAGCACCAAGCCCCGUCAAGGAAGAAGAAAGAAAAUUGAGCGCUAUUUCUCUUGCUGAGACAGCACCCAGUCCUGUUAAAUCAGACGACAAGGCACCAAGCCCAAUCAAGCCUGACGAGAAAGCGCCAAGCCUCAUUGAGCCCGAUGAAAAAGAGCCAAGCCCAUCCAAGCUCGAUGAGAAGACACCAAGCCCCGUCAAACCUGAUGAGAAGGCACCAAGCCCCGACAAGGAAGAAGAAAGAAAAAUGAGCGCUAUUUCUCUUGAUGAAAAAGCACCCAGUCCAGUCAAAUCAGAAGACAAGGCACCAAGCCUCGUCAAGGCUGACGAGAAAGUGCCAAGCCAUAUCAAGCCCGAUGAGAAAACGCCAAGCCCUGCCAAGCCUGAUGAGAAGGCACCAAGCCCCGACAAGGAAGAAGACAAGGCAGCUAGCCCCGUCGAGCCUGACGAGAAAGCGCCAAUCCCUAUCAAGCCUGAUGAGAAAGCGCCAAGCCCUGCCAAGCCCGAUGAGAAGGCACCAAGCCCAGCGAAGGAAGACGAAAGAAAACUGAGCGCAAUCUCCCUAGAUGGGAAAGCCCCCAGUCUAGUCGAACAAAAAGAAACUGCAAUUAGCUCCAUCGAACUUGAUGAAAAAGCGCCAAGCCCUGUCAAACCCGAUGCGAAGGCGCCAAGCCCCGUCAAGCCUGACGAGAAAGCGCCAAGCCCCAUCAAGCCCGAUGAGAAAGCGCCAAGCCCCGCCAAGCCUGAUGAGAAGGCACUAAGCCCUGACAAGGAAGAAGAAAGAAAAUUGAGCGUUAUUUCUCUUGAUGAGAAAGCCCCAAGUCCAGUCAAAUCAGAAGACAAGGCACCAAGCCCCGUCAGGCAUGAAGACAAAACUCCUAGCCCUGUCAGACCUGACGAAAAGGAGCCAAGCCCAGCCAAGUUCGAUGAGAAGGCACCUAGUCCUGUUGAGCUCGAUGAGAAAGCACCUAGUCCUGCCAAGCCCGACGAAGAGACACCUAGCCCCAUCAAACUUGAUGAGAAGGCACCAAGCCCCGUCAAGUACGAUGAGAAAGCGCCAAGCCCCGUCAAGCCUGAUGAGAAGGCACCUAGUUCUACGAAACCAGACGAGAAAGAACCAAGUUCAGUCAAGGAGGUGGACAAAGUGCCCAUUGCAGUCGAGGCUGACAAGAAGGCACUUAAGCCUCUUGCAUAUGAUGACAAAGUUCCAAGCCCAGUCAAGCUCGAUGAAAAAGCGCCAAGUCCUGCCAAGACCGAUGAGAAGGUUACUACCCCUAUCAAACCUGACGGGAGAGAGCCAAGCUUAGUCAAACUUGAUGAAAAAGCGCAAAGCCCUGUCAAGGAAGAAAAAAUAAAAUUGAGCGCUAUUUCUAUUGAUGACAAAGCACCCAGUCCAGCGAAACCAGAUGACAAGGCACCAAGCUCCGUCAUGCCUGAUGAGAAGGCACCUAUAUCUACCAAACCUGACGAGCAAGAACCAAGUCCAGUCAAGGAAGAUGAAAGGAAACUGAGUGCUUUCUGUCUUGAUGUGAAAGCACCCAGUCCAGUUGAACAAAAGGAAACGGCAGCGACACUCAUCAAACCUGACGAGAAAGAACCAAGCCCCGUUAAGUCCGAGGAGAAGGCGCCUAGUCCUGUCGAGCCUGAUGAAGAGGCACUUAGCCCAAUCAAACCUGAUGAGAAAACGCCAAGCCCGGUCAAGCCUGAUGAGAAAGUGCCAAGCUCUAUCAAGCCUGAUGAAAAGGCACCUAGUCCUACCAAACCUGACGAGGAAGAACCCAGGUCAGUCAAGGAAGAUGAAAGAAAAGUGAGUGCUGUCUCUCUUGAUGUGAAAGCACCCAGUCCAGUCGAACCAAAAGAAACUACAAUAAGUUCCAUCAAACUUGAUGAGAAAGAGCAUAGCCCCGUCAAGCCUGAUGACAAAGCGCCAAGCUCCGUCAUGCCCGAUGAGAAGGCACCUAUUUCUGCUAAACCUGACGAGAAAGAACCAAGCGCAGUCAAGGAAGAUGAAAGGAAACUGAGUGCUGUCUCUCUUGAUGUGAAAGCACCCAGUCUUGUCGAAUCAAAAGAAACUACAACAAGUUCCACCAAACUUGAUGAGAAAGAACAUAGCCCCGUAAAGCCUGACGAGAAGGCACCAAGCCCCGACAAGGAAGCAGAAAGAAAAUUGAGCGCUAUUUCUCUUGAUGAGAAAGCACCAAGUCCAGUCAAAUCAGAAGACAAGGCACCAAGCCCUGUCAAGCCUGACGAAAAAGAGCCAAGCCCAGCCAAGCUCGAUGAGAAGGCACGUAGUCCUGUUGAGCCCGAUGAGAAGGCACCUAGUCCUGUUGAGCUCGAUGAGAAGGCACCAAGCCCCAUCAAGGAAGACGAAAGAAAACUGAGCGCUAUUUCUCUGGAUGAGAAAGCACCCAGUCCAGUCAAAUCAGAAGACAAGGCAGCAAGCCCCGUCAAGCCCAACGAGAAAACGCCAAGCCCGGUCAAGCCCGAUGAGAAAGUGCCAAGCUCCGUCAAGCCUGCUGAAAAGGCACCUAGUCCUACCAAACCUGACGAAGAAGAACCCAGUUCAGUUAAGGAAGAUGAAAGAAAACUGAGUGCUGUCUCUCUUGAUGUGAAAGCACCCAGUCCAGUUGAACAAAAGGAAACGGCAGCGACACUCAUCAAACGUGACGAGAAAGAACCAAGCCCCGUUAAGUCCGAGGAGAAGUUGCCUACUCCAGUCAAGUCUGAUGAAAAGGCACUUAAACCUCUUGAACAUGAUGAGAAAGGUCUAAGCUCCGUCAAGCCCGAUGAGGAAGCGCCAAGUUCCGUCAAGCCAGAUGAGAAGGCACCUAGUUCUGCCGAGUCUGACGAAGAGGCACCCACCCCUAUCAAAUCUGAUGAAAAAGCACCUAGUCCUACCAAACCUGAUGAGAAAGAACCAAGUCCAGUCAAGGAAGACGAAAGAAAGCUGACUGCUAUCUCUCUUGAUGUGAAAGCACCCAGUCCAGUCGAACCAAAGGAAACGGUAGCUGUACUCAUAAAAACUGACGAAAAAGAACCAAGCCCCGUCAAACAAGAUGACAAACCGCAAAGCCCCGUCAAGCUCGAUGAAAAGGCGCCUAGUCCACACGAGGCUGACGAGAAGGCACUUAAGCCUCUUGAACAUGAUGACAAAGUUCCAAGCCCCGUCAAGCAUGAUGAAAAAGCGCCAAGCCCUGUCAAGCCUGAUGAGAAAGAACAGAGCCCUCUUAAGUACGAUGAAGAUACAAGUCCAGUCAAAGUUGAAGACAGAGAAUUGAGCCUUUCAGAGACUGAUGAAGACUUGUCGAGUAUAACUUAUAUAGAAAAAGUAACCAAACAGGAUGAUUCUAGCCAUGUCACUAGCAAGCAAGAACAACGGUUGCCAAGCCCAGAUAAAACGUUGGGUAAAACAGUUGAAGAGAAGGAAACAAGUGCAAGUAAACUUGACAUAACUUCAGUCGAUACUCUUGAAGAGAAAUUGUCAAGCGUUAGUACAACUGAAGAAAAGCCAGCAAUCACUCAACAGUCUGAGGAGCUUUUAGAUGAAGAUGGCUUUGUGGUUAUUGACAAAAAUAUUCUUGAUGAACACUUAGAACAUCAAGAAAUUUCUCCAGACAAGGAAGGAGACAUACAUUUAAAGGAUAAAAUAGCUCACGACAAAAUCACCAUCGAUAAGACUCCACAGUUUUCUGAUGCCAUUCUCAGUCAAGUUCCUGUAAAAGAACCUAAACCAGAGAAAGAGGCUCAGAUGAAAGAAGACGUGGAUCAAGGUAUUAAACCUGAAGACGAUCUUACUCCUGAAAUAAUAAAGAAAGAACUACGUGUUGAAACCGAAUUACAAGAUCAGUUUGACGACGAUGUACCAAGCCCAGAACUUGUUCUAGAUACACUCAAAGAACUUAGUCCUAUAAAAGACGACACAGGUGUUGUUAUUAAAGAAACAAUCAAACAAUUGGUUUCGGAAAAAGAAAUAGAUGAAGUAACUGAAAUAAAAGAAGCAGUGCAUAAAGAAAAAGUCGAUGAAUUGAAAUCAGUGUCCACUAAAGUCACAGACAUUACUCCUAUAUCUGACGAAUUAAGUGAAAAAACUCAACAAUUAAAAUCUGAACAAUUAACUAGUGAAAUUAUGGAAAGUGAUAUCAUUUCUGACAAACUUGAUUACAAGCAAGUUGGUUUAGAAAAGGAUAUUUGUGACAUCAAAAAAGAUAAAAAGACAAUCGAUGGUGAAGCAGAUGCAGUUAAAUCAAUAGAAGUAGUAAAACAGAUUACCACUGCUAGCAAUCAAAUUGAUAAAUUAAUUCAUCACGAUCAGUUUGAAGAUAAAACACUAAGUCCUAUUGAGCAUAAGGAAGAAAUAGCAACAAUUCAAAAAGAAACAAGCUUAGUAGAUGAAAAGAAACGCGAUCCAGACGAAAAGGAUGAGAAAGGUAUAACACCUAUUAAGCUGGAUAAACUAUCUGAUAAAACACCGAGUCCUGCUGAAUCUGAUGCAGAAAUCCUAAGUCCAGCUUUAAUGGAUGACAGCGAGCUACCUGCUGUACACAUACCACAAACUAAAUCUGACAAAGAAAAGAGUGCAGAAAUUGAAACGGUGGCAGUAAAGGCUGAUGAUUCCAUCAAGCAUAGUAUUAAGUUACCAACUGAAAGCCUAGCUGACGAAAAGAGCGCAUUAGUAACGCACACACAAUUGCCAAUCACACCUCAAGAUGAAUCAGAAAUUGAGAAACAAUUAGAAGGCUUUGAACCUGUUGGUGAAAUAGAAGAAGAUACCACAACUCAGAUAGUCACCAUUACUGAAGGUGGCCAGGUAAUUAAAAGGAAAUCAACUAUCACAACAAUUAUUCAAGAAUACUCAAAUGUAAGUAAGACUAUAAGAAAAUACAAAAUCACAGUUAUAUCUGUAGAGUCGGACGAACAUUUAGACGGCACUAAAUUUAGCAGAACAUAUAAAGACGUAUCUAUUGCCGAUUCGAGACCUAAAACAAGUACUUUUAAAAUUGAAGUAAAAGAGAUCAGUCCAAUACAAGAUGAAACUGAUAUAAGAUCCGACCUUGAAUUAACCUUUACCAAGAAGACACCUAGCCCACUCAAAGAAGAUCAACAAGUAUCAAGCCCUGAUAAGCUUGAAAAGAAGGUGCCUCACCCUCAGGAAAUAGGUGAAGGUGGAGAAAGUGGUAUCACGCCUGAAGAAAAGGUACCCAGUCCUAUCAAACGUGAUGAAGUAUCAAGUAGCCCAAAGGAAGAAAAAUUAAUCUCAUUCUUAGAUGAUCUAGAAAUUGAAGAACGAUUAAAAGAUUUCAAACCUACGGGUGAAUCAGAGGAAAAAACAAUUACCCAAUACCUCACUAUAACGGAAAAAGGUGUUGAAAUUUUAAGAACGUUUAUCAUCACAACGAUAGUACAAAAAUAUUACAGUAUUUCAAGAACGACAGUGAUGUACAAGAUUAUUAUUGUUACUGUCGAAGAAGACGAAUUACCGGAUGGAACUAAAGUUAGCAGAACAUACAAGAAAACUUCAUUGAGUAAUUCAAAACCAACUUUGGAGCAACUGAUGCAGCUUUGCAAUGAAUGCGUCGCCAGAGAUUUACACUUAAAAGUUUCAGACUUUAGUUCUACAAAGCCUGAUGAUAAGGACAAGUCAACUGACACUUCUGAAGAGAAGAAGCUUGAUGAGAAAACAGACAGCUUUGUCAAACCUGAUGACAAAGAUUCUAGCCCGGUCAAGCUAGAUGACAAGGAAGGCAGCCCAGUCAAGGAUGAUGGAAGAAAACUCAGCUCAGUUUCUCUUGAAGUAACAACACCAAGCCCAGUCAAGCCAGGUGAGGAGGCAUCUAGCCCUGUCAAGCCUGAUGAGAAAUCACCUAGCCCUGUAAAGCUUGCAGAGAAGGCGCCUAGCCCUGUCAAACCUGAUGAGAAGGUACCUAGCCCUAUCAAGACCGAUGAGAAGGCGCCUAGCCCUGUCAAGCCUGAAGAGAAGGCGCCUAGUUCUCUCAAGAUAGACGAUAAGGAACCAAGCCCUGUCAAAUCCGACGAGAAGGUACCUAGCCCCGUCGACCACGAUGACAAGCUACCUAGUCCUCUCAAGACUGACGUGAAGGCGCCUAGCCCUGUCAAACCUGAUGACGAGGCGCCUAUUUCUGUUAAGACUGAAGAGAAGGCGCCUAGCCCUGUCAAGCCUGAUGAGAGGAUAGCUAGACCUGUCAAGUCAGAUGAAAAGGAACCAAGCCCUGUCAAGAUAGACGAUAAGCUGACUAGCCCUGUCAAGACAGACGAUAAGGAACCAAGCCCUGUCAAGCCCGAAGAGAAGGUACCAAGCCCUGUCAAGCUUGAUGAAAAGGCGCCUAGCCCUGUCAAGCCUGACGAAAAGAUAUCUCGCCCCAUCGAACACGAUGACAAGCUGCCUAGCCCUCUCAAGACAGAUGAUAAGGAACCAAGCCCUGUUAAGCCCGAAGAAAAGGUAGCUAGCCCUGUCAAGAUAGACGAUAAACUACCUAGCCCUCUCAAGAUAGAUGAAAAAGUACCUAGCCCUAUCAAGCCCGACGAAAAGGCGCCUAGCCCUGUUAAGCCCGAAGAGAAGGUCCCUAGCGCUGUCAAGCCUGAAGAGAAGGCGCCUAGCGCUGUCAAGCCUGAAGAGAAGGCGCCUAGCCCCGCAAAGCCCGAUGAGAAGGUACCUAGCUCCAUCGACAUCGAUGAUAAGCUACCUAGCCCUGUCAAGUCAGAUGAAAAGGAACCAAGCCCUGUUAAGCCCGAUGAGAAGGAACCUAGCCCUGUCAAGCCUGAUGAGAAGGUACCUAGCCCUGUCAAGCCUGAUGACAAGCUACCUAGCCCUGUCAAGACAGAUGAAAAGGUACCUAUCCCUGUUCAGCUCGAAGAGAAGAUCCCUAGCCCUGUCAAGAUAGACGAUAAGCUAACUACCUCUGUCAAGGCUGAUGAUAAGGAACCAAGCCCUGUCAAGCCUGAUGAGAAGGUAUCUAGCCCCAUCCAACAAGAUGAGAAGGAACCUAGCCCUGUCAAGCCUGAUGAGAAGGUACCUAGCCCCGUUAAGCCUGAUGAGAAGGUACCUAGCCCUGUCAAGCCUGAUGAGAAGGUACCUAGCCCUGUCAAGCCUGAAGAGGAGGCGCCUAGCCCCGGAAAACCCGAUGAGAAGGUACCUAGCUCCAUCGACAUCGAUGAUAAGGUAACUAGCACCGUCAAGACAGAUGAAAAGGUACCUAGCCCUGUCAAGCCUGAUGAGAAGGUACCUAGCCCCAUCCAACACGAUGAGAAGGAACCUAGCCCUGUCAAGUCCGAUGAGAAGGUACCUAGCCCUGUCAAGCCUGAUGAGAAGGUACCUAGCCCUGUCAAGCCUGAUGAGAAGGAACCUAGCCCUGUCAAGCCUGAUGAGAAGGUACCUAGUCCUGUCAAACCUGAAGAGAAGGCGCCUAUCCAUGCAAAGUCCGAUGAGAAGGUACCUAGCUCCAUCGAAAUCGAUGAUAAGGUACCUAGUCCUGUCAGGAUUGAAGAUAAGGAAUCAACCCCCGUCAAGCCUGAUGAGAAGGUAUCUAGCCCCAUCGAACACGAUGACAAGCUACCUAGCCCUGUCAAGACAGAUGACAAGUUACCUAGCCCUGUUAAGCCUGAUGAUAAGGAACCAAGCCCCGUCAAGCCUGACGAAAAGGCGCCUAGCCCUGUCAAGCCUGACGAAAAGGCGCCUAGCCCUGUCACGCCUGAUGAGAAGGUCUCUAGCCCCAUUGAACAUGACGACAAGCUAGUUAGCACUGUCAAGACAGAUGAUAAGGAACCAAGCCCUGUCAAACCCGACGAAAAGGCGCCUUGCCUCGUUAAGCCCGAUGAGAAGGUACCUAGCCCUGUCAAGAUGGACGAUAAGGAACCAAGCCCGGUCAAGCCUGAUGAGAAGGCUCCUAGCCCUGUCAAGCCUGACGAAAAGGUGCCUGCCCCCAUCAAGCCUGCUGAGCAACAACCCAGUCCCGUUUCGGAAGACGUCAAAAAAGUAAGCGCUAGCUCUCUUGAAGAACAAGCACCCAUUCCAGUCGAACCAGAAGUAAAAGUACCAAGUCCUAAACUUGAUAAGGCAGAACUGAGCCCCGACGAACCCGUUGACAAGGUGCCUAGUCCUGUUAUGUCUGACAAGGUGACACUUAGCUCUAUUAAACAUGAUGUCAAAUUAGACAGCCCUGACAAGGCAGAUGACAAAGUACCUAGCCCUGUCAAACAUGAAAAGUCCCCUGAAACAGAUAAAGCCUCAGAAAAAUCAGAAGUUACCAAAAAAGAAAUUGAAACAAAAUCAAAGGAUGAUGAAAAAGACAUUGAUGAAAAGGAAUCUUUCGAAGACGAAUCGACAAGUAGUAAGAAAGUUUCAGUCGGCUCCGAAAAAGAUCUCAUAAGUAAAUCAGAUAAACAAAUAGUUGAUUCAGAAGAUCAUCAGUCACAGAAAAAAUCCGCAGACGGAAAAGAUCUGCAAGACUUUGAUACUACUGAAAAAGACAUUUAUGACGAUGGCGAAUCGAUAAGUGAAGAUAGUCAAAUAAUUGAAAGAGUUGACCUUCAAAAAGAGUCAUUUGUUCAACCAGCAGUUACAAAAAUACAAUCUUUAUCCAGUCAAACAGAAGAAUUGCUUAAACAAGAGCGACAAUUCGUUUCCAAAUUAGAACCUGGUCUUAAAGAAACUGUCAGUAAGCCACAUGUUGUGAAAAAGAGGUCUAUUCUUGAUGAUAGAUCUACUCAAGACUCUCUUGAUAGCUUGACAGAUGGUCUUACGUCUAUACCACAUGGAAGCAGUUCUGAAGAUGUUUCAAAAGAAACUAGUCUAGAGGAAAAAUACAGUUUUGAAGGAUCUGAAAAGUCUGAAAAGAAAUCCGUACGAAAACUACAUGCUGAUGAUACUACGAGCCAUAAAGUUGAACCAUUAUCAAUCGACGACUCUUUUACUUCAACACUGAAAGAUACCGAUUUGACCAAAGUGCAAGACGACAAAACACAGGAAUUAGGAUCACCAAAAGAUGAAAUACCUCUUUCUGAAGCAUCAGAUUCCGGAGUCCAUAGUAUACCCACUGAUGUAGGACUUAGUGACGACAAAAAUAUAACUCAAGCAAUGACUGAAAGUGCCGUUCAUCUUAUGGAGUCGAUACAAAAAGCAUUUGAAGAAGACACUGUACAACAAGGAAUAAAAACUGAGAGCUUAGAAUCUUUAGUUAGAGUUUCGACACCCCCAACCGUCCCAGUUAGUCCACUGCCUAAGACUCCUAGUAGCUUCCAAGAUGUCAAAAUAAGCGAUGGCGUUCAGAGUGAAGUAACCUAUGAUAAGUCUGAUGGCAGCGAGGAAACAAUCACUAAAGUGGUACAUGUUGGAGAUGACGUUCUUACCCAAAGAAUUUCAACUUCAACAGAAAAAGUUCCAAAGAAAACAUCUGCUCUUGUCGAUGAUGAAUCAGAUCUUUUAUCAUUGAUGCAAAAUGUUGGAAAGAUCAAAACCGAAACUGAUACUGUAACCAAAAUAAUUAAGGAAGGUGAAAAUGUUGUAACACAAACAAUAACCACUGUUACUACCAAAGAAGUAAUAUCAAGAGAAGACGGCACACCACAGAAUAUUAAGACCACAAUAGAAACUACUACUUUGAGCAAAGGAUCUGAUGGUUCUACAACUACAAUUAAAGAUACACAAACAUUACUCUCAGAAUGUUCUUCCAGCCUUAGAUCUACCUCAUCUAUGGAUUUGUAUGCAAAAGACAGAAUAGAUAAGGAAUAUUUAGAAAGUGAAGAAAAGUUCGAUAUUAGGGAUUUGACUGAUAAACGUGAGUCUUCCUUACCUAAAGAUGUAGAAUCACUCAAAUCCUUUUUAAGUGAGACUGAUGAAUCAGACGAUAACAUUGAAGAUACGAUUAUUGAUACAGAUGUAAGUAAACGAAUUAUUAAAGAAAACAACAAGGAUAUUGUCGAAACUGUUACAACAACAACAAAGAAAGAAACCAUUAAAGUUAGUGACCAUAAAAAAAUAAUUCGUACGACAGUAGAAACAAAUGUCGCCAAAGAGCAUCCUGAUGGUUCAAGAGAUGUACAGAAGAAUGUUGAAGUUAAGACUGAAGAAAUUAUUUUAGAUUCUAGCAGUAAUUUAGAUAAUAUACUUAAUGAGUUUAUUGUUUGUGGUGAACCUGAAGAAAGUGUCACCUCUAAAACAGAAGAAAUCAAACAAGACACUUUCACCAUUAGACGCACAAUAGUAACCAGAGUAGUUAAAACAAAAUAUGCCGAUAAACAAGGCAUCCCUAGAAAACUCAAGACUGACACAACUAUCACUACGACUGAUGAUUACCCAGAUGGUUCUUCUCGCACGAAAGUUGAUAGCAGUACAUCGCUGUCAGACAUUGAUAUCGAACCAGUAGAGACUCCUGAACUUCAAGAUUUAACAGUAGUAGAAGAUAAGGCGGUCGAAACAGACAGAAAUGAGAAAACUGUUAGUAUAAACGGAAAAAGUGCGUUGCAAAUUAUAACUACAACUACUACUAAAGAAACAUUAGCCUCAAUUGACAGGACUAAGAGAAAACUAAAGACCACAGUUGAGACUGUAACGGAGACAAUGCUUCCCGAUGGCAUGACAGAAGUGACGAAAGAUGUCAAAAUAUCUGUGUCAGACAUUGGAUUAGAUACUGUAGAAGAUAGUCUCGACGGAUUUGAAUCAAUUGGCAAACCCAAAGAGGACACUACUACAGAAACUGAAACAGUAACUGAAGACGGCCUUAUUAUAAAAAGAAAAACAACUGUAACUACUACUACACAAGAAUAUAUCAAUACAUCAAAUACCAUUAAGCGAGUAAAGACAACAGUCAAGACUGUUGUAGAAGAUGAACACCCUGAUGGUUCUGUUAUAAAAAAGACAAGUGAAAAGAUAUCUCUUACAGAUGAAAAUCUCAUAACAACGAGUGAUGACUCCGAAGACGAAAAGAUUAAUGCCAUUCUUAAGGAUUUGAUUUCAUCAGAACCAGAUGUAAGUGAAUCCGUGCAAAAAGAAGAAAUCAAAGAAAAGGAUAUUACCAUCCAUAGAACUAUUGUUACUAAAAUAGUGACGACAAAGUACUCUGACAGUCGGGGACAAUUACAAAAAAUUAAAACAGUCACUACAGUUACUACUAGUGAUCAAUAUCCUGACGGCACUGCAAAGAUUACCGUUGAUACAAACACGACUAUUAAUGAUUUAAAUAUUGAAGAAGAGGUCCAAACGAAAAAGAAGGUUAGUGUAGAUCAGAGUACCCUGCCAGAACCUAAAGAAAAAGACCCAGAACCUAUUGUCAAUGGAGUUCAUGAAUCGCUAGACUCUGAAACUUUCAUAGAAGGAAAAUCAAAAACCGGUGAUAAAUUAACUGUCAAAGAAGAAUCACCGUCAGAAGAAGAACCUGCCCAAAGUAGUAAAGUUGACGCCGCCCUGAAAGAUUUCGUCCCUGAAGGAGAACCAGAAAUAACUGAAUCUAGUGAAACUAUAGAUAUCAAGGAAAAGGAUACUGUUAUCCGUAGGAUUAUAGUCACUAAAAUAGUUAAAACAAAGUAUUCUGACAAACAGGGUAAUCUCAGAAAAUUAAAGACUGUAACUACACUCACCACUACCGAUAACUAUCCAGAUGGGUCAGCUCGGACUACUGUUGAAAGUAGCACUUCAGUUACGGAUAUUGAAAUAGGAAUUACUGACGUCGUCGAAGAAGGUUUUGAUGCUGUUGGUGAUCCAAUAGAAGACACAACCACAGAAACUAAAUCUAUCACUGAAAAUGGUAUUGUGAUAAAAAGAAAAACAACUAUCACCACAAUAGUCCAAGAAUAUGCUAGUGCUGAACAAAAUAUUAAGCGAACAAAAACUACAAUUAGGACUGUAAUAGAAGAUGAAUACCCCGACGGUUCAGUCACAACAAGAGCCAGUGAAAAGGUAUCAUUAGUCGAUGAAAGUCUCAAGGCGCCUGAACCCACAGCCGAAGAAUUAGCCGAAAUAAUAAAAUUAGAAACCGCGCUCCAAGACCUAUCUCCGUCAGGAGAACCUGAAGUAAGCGAAGACACUAAAGUUCAAGAAAUAAAGGAAGACGGGGUGAGCAUUAGAAGAGUCAUCAAUACAAAAAUAGUCAAAACUAAGUACUCUGAUAGUAAAAAUAUCAUACGAAAGAUGAAGACGGUUAAAACUGUAACGACAACCGAUGAAUUCCCAGACGGCGCUGCAAGAACAACUGUUGACACCAGUACAUCAGUAAGUGAUAUAAAAGAAGAUAAUGUGGAGGCCCCUAUUCAACAAGUGACAGGCUACGAUCAGGUUGGGGAUGUUCAAAUCAAUGUCGAAACUAUUAAUAAUGCAGUAGUUAGAGACGGAAAAGAACUUCAACAAACAAUUACUAUCAAAACAACAAAAGAAGUUUUGGAAUCACAACAAGAGGAUAUUAAGAGGAAAGUCAGAACAACAGUAGAAACUGAGAGUCAAAUUGCACUACCCGAUGGUAACACGGAAAUCACAAGGGACAAAAAAGUGACACUAGACGAUUUUAAAAGCGAAACAUUCUAUGAAAACUUGACGGGAUAUGUUGAAAUUGAUAAACCAAAAGAAUCUGUUGAGACUGAAGAAGAUACAAUAUUGGAAAAUGGCGUGAAAAUAAAUAGAAAAACAACAAUGAAAACCAUAAAACAGGAAUUCGAAAAUCCCGCUACACUUUCAAGGAAAGUUAAAACUAUAAUUAGGGUUGAGAUUGAAGAUGAACAUCCUGAUGGUACAGUCAUUACUAAGAAGAAAGAAACUGUCACAAUCACAGACAUAGCAGGUUACCCUCCAAGAUCAAUGCAGGAUGCUCCUGGGCGUCCUGAAGAUUUACCUGUUGGUGAUUCUGAAAUUGUAGAAAGUCAAACUGAAGACUUAGACGUUAAAAAUGAAGAAAUCCAACGAGGAUCUGUUACUAUCAAACGCAAAAUUACGACAAAAACUAAACGCGAAUUCUUAGCUAGUAACGAUGUAAAUAUUAAACGAGUACGGACUACUGUUGAAACAACUACUGUCGAUGAAUAUCCCGACGGUGCUACUGAAACCACAAAAGAUGUAAAAAUAACUGUAUCUGAAUUCCAGAAGACAUCAGACAGUGAUCUACAAGCGGCGCUCCAGGGAUUAGAACCCACUGGUAAAAUAAAAACUUCCGUAGAUAAAAAGACUAAUAUCAUCAAAUCAGAACAUGGUGAAAAAAUUACUCAGACAAUCACGACUAACGUGACCAAAGAAGAACUUAGCAAUAGUAAAACAAAUGAUGUUGCAGUGAAAACGGUCACAGAAACUAUUACGGAAAAUGCCAAAGACGACGGCACAGUUGAAACAACGAAAGACGUUCGUACACAAAUUACAUACUUACCACCAGGAACUGGUCUUGAUGACUGGUCUCCAGAAGAGCUUGAAGAAAUUGAAAAACAACCAGUAGCACAAGAGGAACGACAAGUUUUGGAUGAUAAGCCUGCAGUGAACCAGAAGCAACAUGAUUCAAAAGAAAAACAAGAACAAAAGCCGAAGAAACAACGUUCACCAGUUGGAGAAAUAACUACGGAAACUGAUACCUACACCAAAGUCAUCAAAGAAGGCGACAACGAAAUAACACAAACAAUAACGGUAGUAACAACAAAAGAAGUUAUUAGCCCUGAAAAAAUUAAAGUUACAGUUGAGACUACUACAGUUAGUAAAGGCAGCGAUGGGGUGACCAAGACAACUAAAUCUACUAAAACAACGAUAUCCGAGUUUAGAGAAGAGUUCGAAGAAACCGUUGAUACUGGUGAAAGUGAAAAAUCAUUCUCGAAAUUGUCUUCUAAGACAGGUGAUAUGCGAAGCUCAUCAGCAGCGAGCGAUGAUCUAGACCAUCCUGGCAUCGCAACUCCACCAUCAGAUAUUAGCUCAAGAGGUUCUAGGGCCGCCACUCAUAUUUGGGGCACGGAAAGCAGUGGAAUGUACUACAGUGAUGAAGAAGGUCAGGGCAGCCCUAGCAGUACAAAAUCACAAAUUGCACACUCCCCUAGGUCCAAUCUCAGCUUUGAAUUAGACACCGCUAGGUCACAACAAGAUCUAUUCGAAAAACAUGAAUCAGGUUUAGACAAAGACAUUAUGACAACCUCCUUAUAUGGACACUUACCUGAAGACGAUUCCUGCAAAUCCUCUUCACACUCUGAAGUUACCACAACUGAAGUACUCAGCGGCUCUGCAACAAAACUAACUAAAGAGUUCUUAAGCAAAGAAAGAUCAGAACAUAUAAAACAUAGCGAUGCUACUUUCUUAAAAGAGGCUGAUGAACAUUUUGAGAAAGCCAUUGAAGAACAUAAGAAGGUGAGCGGUUCUCAAGUCAUUUCAAAUAUAACAGCUAAAUAUGAACUUGAUUCGAAAUUCCAUUCAAGUUCAAGUCAUUCAUCAAAGGAGGAAAGUACAAUAACAUUAAAAGACAUUAAAACAGAAUCAAAAAAAUUGUCUGACAGCAGUUCAUCAAGCAAACAGGAAACUAAGUUGGAACAAUCUGAAAUGACGAACGAAACUCGUAAAACAUCCAAAGACCCGAUCGAGUCUUGGGGAAAGCCACUUGGUUUGCCCAGUCCAAUAGGGCCACCUACACAGACAGAUGGCAAGAGCACUCCUAAGAAGCAAUCUAGUGCAACAGUGUUAAACAAAAAUAAGAUCAACCAAGAGAAGAGCAAGGAAGCCAAGGGUCGUGCCUCGGAGUCUCCCAGCAAGAAGAAGGCCCCAGCUCCGGUGUACAUGGAACUUACUUAUGUUCCACACCACGGCAACUCCUACUACUCCGCCAUUGAAUUCUUCAAGCGAGUCCGUGCCCGCUACUACGUAUUCUCUGGUACUGAGCCUUCAAAAGAGAUCUACAAUGCUCUGCUCGAUGCCAAGAAAACAUGGGAAGAUAAAGAUUUAGAAGUCACCAUAAUUCCCACGUAUGACACCGACGUGCUUGGCUACUGGGUGACAGAGAAUGAGGAAGCUCUCGAGAAGUACAAGAUUGACCUGUCGCCGUCUGCGUCCCGGUGCACCAUCAACCUCCAGGAUCAUGAGACAUCGUGUGCGGCCUAUAGACUCGAGUUCUAGGUUUCGGGUCUAUUUGUAGCCUUCUCAUCGAAGAAGUGAGCCACUGUCGAGGAGUCAACGCUUGCGAACCGAAUGAACCAAAGAAAAGUGUAAUUGUUGUUGUAGAAAAAAAAAGGCUGUGAUAAUGAAAGAAACGCUCGUAAGCAUUGACUCUUGAGGCCACUACUUCGCAUGAGAGUGUUUGCAAAUAGAUACUGAGUUUUUGUGAUAUUUGAAUGCAAUUAACAGACUGCUAAAGAGUUUGAUAAAAUCCUAGUUAAUAAUGAAAGUAACGAUAAUCCAAACGAAAACGAUAGUGCUGGUGUCAAAUGUGUUGUGCAAACCACGGCCGAUUCGUAACUCCCAAACUGACAGUGUCCUAACCACAUCCAAUUGUAAAGUCAAUAACCAAUUCUCGACCUAAGAACAGAGACGUCCAUUUUUUUCUAAAAUACAACUGUUUUCUAGUAGCUUGCCAUUUAAAGUAUAUUUCUGAUGAUGUUUUAAAAUUUGGUCUUAUACAAAACUGUAGUGCUUUUAUACAUGAUAUUUAGCGUAACCAGUCCAUUUUGUUUAGCCAAAACACCGCUUUGCGAUCAAAAUUUUUGGGGGAAUGAAAAAGAAAAAUUAUUUUGCUAUCGCCAUUUGUGAUUUACAAAUUGUACAAAAUGUCUUAGCGGCAUUUGUUUUGUUUAGCGUAGUCGCUUUAAAAGGACGUGAUUAACAUACGAUUGUCAUGGUAACUGACGUUAUUAUAAAACCUGAUGGUACUUUUUUAAAGGUUUAAAUAAAGAUAUACUUAUUAAACGUAAUAUUGUCUUAUAAAGACGUUCUUAAUAUAUGCUCGCUCGUCGAGCUAGUGCUACGUGCGCUAGUUUCUAUUCGUAUUUGUUAGAUGAGACUUAUUAUUAUGACUCUAGAACGACAAAGAUGACUUCUCGUGUCAGCCUGUACCUCGUAAGUAAUUCAGUUAGAUGUAAGGAGUGACGUUUUCCACGAUUAUUUUCAACUCGAGCUUAUUUCCCUGCGAUUUAUAAUAGACGAACGGUGGUGAUGGAUUGUAGGGUUGCGACGUAACUUUUUAUAAAUCCAACAGAUGGCGUUGUUACGAAUACAGGUUCUGCAUCACGCUAACGAAAUUUAUCUUCUCGGCUAUUUAAGAAUAAGUUGCGCAAACAUCACGCGCUAACGCAACAUCGGUCUGUAUUCGUGACGCCAACUUGGCUAACUUCAGAGUACUCGCACAAGGUAUUAGAUACAGAGUCGAUUAUAAUUGGAACAUCCUGCAACUCCAAUAUUAAUCGAAUGUGUGUCCAAUGCUCUUGUACGAGCCUCUGAUGAAAUACUGCAAUCGAUCGCCAUCCUUAACUGAAGACAUCUGUGUUAUUCUAGACCAACAGUGAGCCUAAAACGAUAGAGAGCUUAACCAUUAUAAAUAAUAAAUGUUUUAGUAGAAAACUAUUAUUAAAGAAUUCAUUAUAUUUACCUCUGUUUAAGUUGAUACUUGCUUGUUGCGUCGAGGUAUAGUAAUAUAACAUAGUUAUAAUUACGUGUUAUAUAAAAUUUACUCAUUUCCAAAAGAUUAUUAUUAUUAAAAUAAAACGAGAUUUCCGAAUCUCUAUUUGUAUUACGUUGGCAACUAUAUAUUUUUCGGUCUGUUGUAUUUUUGUUUGAAAUUUCUAGUCGAGGCGACCCAAAUACUUAUAAAAAUCGUUAUAGUCUUAUAAAAUUCGUUCCUAUUCAGAUGAAUUGUUUUUUAAGCGUUUUUGUAAUGUUUUUUUGUCGAAGAUGAAAUCCUCAUGUAAUUAUAGAUAAAGUACUCCAUUAGGUUACCGAUUUGUUUCAAAACGUUAUGUUCGGAUGUGAGCGAAUGUGAUAAUGAUCCAUAAAUGAUUCAGCAUCUAGUGAGUAAGCAGUGUCGAAGGCUUUCCUCAGAAACACAGCAGCGAGCAUGUUCAGCCUGUCGGCAGACCAGCACUGUUCCAUCAGACGGGUCACUGCUCGCGUCUCCACCAUGCAUUGUCCUUAUUUGCCAAAUAUCCAAUGAAAGUGUUUGAGUCAAUUAAUUUUAAGUCAUCCAUAGCUAUAAGUGGAUUAAUGUCACACAACAAUCGCUUACUUCGCUAACAUUGUCUUAAUAUAGAAACUAUAGCGAGAACAAUUCGUAUUCCGAACCGCACCAGCACAAUGUAUUAACAUAUAAAAAAAAACUUUAAAAAAUUGUAAACAAAUACAUAAAGAAUACUUUUUUUAUUUUAAUUUUUUAUGUAUGUCAACGAAUGAGUUUUUAUUUUAUAGUUUAAAAUACAUAAUUAAUAUAGUAUGUGUUACUGUGUGGAUUGAUGUGAGCACAAUAUUGUUUCAUUAUGUGGUUUUGCUUUAGGUAGUUUGGAUGGGACUAAACAGGGAUGUGAGGAAUACCUGGGGGGAGGCGGGUCUGAACCGAUGCUACUGCUGUCGUGACACUGUUGGCUUCUCCAGUCAAUUUUAGUAAUAAGCUCUUCCAUCGCUACGUUGCUAAAAUACAACAUUUUGAGAUUGAAACGCCCAACCGUGAUGACAUCUGUGUGUUUGGACGAAUCAAUUUCAUGAUGUCGAAUACGCUAAAGUUUGCCACUUUAUAUUCUCAUGACGAGUGCAUCGGUGACGACAACUUUAUCGCUUUGAAUAAAAAGGAUUUUGAGUAUCUUUUUUUUGAAUAGGCUUUGUUACUUUCAGCCAGCAUCCACUGUCUAGCUGGCCGUAAAGCCUGACCCUAAAGUUUACUAUUGUAUUUUAUAGCUAGAAUUCUAAUUAAUGCAUAUUAUUAGGAAUAUUAAAAAUGUUAUUAAAAUUAAGAAUUGUAUCAGCUUAGUGAACAUCAAUAGCUCUGAGAAAUAAACCAUUAUUGAAAUUAUUAAAUGUUGUAUUCUUUCAACUUGGUUAUUGAACAUGUUUAAUUAUAUUUAAAGAAAUAUUUAGUGUCUUUGUUACCUAUGAAUAUAUACUUAGGUUGACAGACAACCAUACGGUUUGCCUGGAAGCCUGUCAUUUACCUCAAAUGAUAUCAAAGAAAACUGAACACUAUGCCAACUUAGAACCUGCUUACCUCAAUGCCAUCUAUAGAUGCUUAGAAUUAAAUUAAUUAAGAAAUAAAUUAAUGACGAUGGCAUAAAACAUUAUCUAAGAUUAGGUACACCGUAUGACUGUUUGGCAUCUCUAUAAAAUACGUAAUCUAAACACAAAUUGCACCACCGCUUAAUAAAUACGUUUACCGCUAAAUAUGAAGCAUAAAACCCAAAAACCACUGUUUAUUUUACUUUAGCAAAAACAUAAAAUAAAAACCCUUGAAAAAGAUGCAAAAACAGUAUGCAUUUGAUCAAAAUAUUGAACAGUAAUUAAAGGUAAAAAAUACAGUAAACCAUAUUCAAUCUAUUUAGCGGUAAAAUUAUUUAGUGAGCAGUGUUGUAAGACGAUUAAUAAUGAGAAGGAAUUGGUAUGUGCGAAAAGUUUGACUUUGAGUGGAAAAUCCGUGGAUAAGAGACAUCGAGUUAAGAGAGUAUCUAUAUGGAAAAUAUGGAUUUGUUGUAGAUAGGUAUCAAUGUGGGUGAUUCGAUUUAAAAUAGAGAGUGUAUCUAAUAUUUACUCACGCAUAUAAAAAGAGACUUAUAAGUAAAAACGAUGCAAAAGAGUCUUCAUGCUUUAUACUGAAAAUACUAUAUAAAAAAGAUCAGACAGCAAAUAAAUAUCGAAAAAUCUGUGCAUUCAAUAAUGUAACUCUCUAUUUUAAAUAAUCGAAUCUGAUGGCUUAAGUGGUGCUAGAAAUCGUUGCGUUACAAUAUUUAGAUAUUGAAUGUAUCCCCUUGUAAAUGAUGAGGGUGGAAACAUUAGAAAAUACUAAGGAAUAAUUCACUUAAUACAUUUUUUUAUAUAAGUAGGCAUUCAUUUAUUUUAAAAAAUUAUGAAAUUCAUACUGGUAUUGUAUUCAUAAAUUAAAAGUUUAUUAUUUUUUUUACUAUAGGAGUUGCUUUACAUACGGUGAUCUCCCUUACUCUUACGAGUAUUGACAUAAGUGUGAAAGAGACAAGUGUAUUUUUGACAAGUUCCACUGUCAUCGUUUACUUUGGGGUGCAAGUUACACGCUUAGUGGUAAGUAAGACUGAUGAAAUAUUUUGUUAAACAGCUAACAAUUAAAAAAAUGCUUCUGUUGAGAAAACGCAAAACGCUGUAUACGCCUAAAAUUAAUUAACAUUAAAAAUAAAUUAUUGGUUUGGGAAUAUUGAAAAGGAAAUUAUGGUGCAUACGACAAUUUAAUAUUGCGAUAAUAAGGAGAAUUGCCAAUUAAUUUCACCAAAAAUGGGACUAACGAUAUCUUGAGUACCCAAAUACUACCUUUAUCUUUGAAGAUCAACUCCUGAAAAUAUUUUUUUUUUAUAAUAUGCACCAUAAAUAUUUUAAUUAUUACUUAAAAUGUUGGCUUGCUUUAUUAACAAACCUGCUAUAAAAAUGAAAAUAUUUAAUAAUUUAAAUAAUGUACUGCCCUUAAGGGUACCUAGGUGCAUAUUUAUAAUUGUAUGUAAAUUAAAUACUCAUUAAAUAAAAUCAUUGUAUCACGUCGCUGUAAUCCAUUCUGCGUGUUUGGUGGUAAUGUAUGAAUCAUUAUGAGUAAUAAAAAAAUGUUUGAAAAGG